GGGCUAUUAGCUCAGUGGUAGAGCGCGCCCCUGAUAAUGGGCGAGGUCUCUGGUUCAAGUCCAGGAUGGCCCA
rnacentral:tRNA from 2 species